rnacentral:misc_RNA from 1 species
CCAGCAAACAAAAAGCUCAUCCUUACAAUGGUCAUGUCAACAAGCAAAGCAACCUAAAAGCCAAAAAUCUUAUAAAUCAUCGUCAAUAUCAACAGCUUUGCCACCCAAUUUCUUGCUCUUUUCAGCUUCCAUAUCUGCAGCUGCCCUUUUUCUCGUGACUCCAUAAAAUCACGCCAUAACUUUUUGCUCUCUUUCUCUCUCUUUCCCAUAAAAGUAUAUAUGUUAUGGUCACCCUUCUCAUCAACUUGCAUAUCCUUUCGUUUCCUCUCCUUUCCUACAUUCUUAUCUUAAUUUUAAUGUGAACGAUUCUAUUUCCUUUGAACUCUUCCGUCAUUGCAACACUUUAAUCUAUACAUAAUCUUUCACGGAAAUGUAGAAGUAUAGGCAUAGAGAUUUGGAGCUGAGGAAAUAUGGGGGGUCAUAAAGAGAGGGAGAUCAGCAACAAGGAGGAGCAGGAGCAGGAGGAUAGAGAGUAUGAGGUGGAGGAUGUUAGAGAUAGAAUAAACUCGUCGCGAGGGAGCAGAUUCAAUCUCAUAGAGAACGAGUUAGGGCUUGAGUCAGGGACUCGGCGGAAGUUCAGUCGGGAAUCGGUAAUCAAUGGUAUUCGUUACGUCUCUACAGGUCUCUUUAUCCGACCUGAAAACAGAUGGUAUAGGGCAUGGACGAAGUUCAUACUGAUAUGGGCAGUCUACUCAUCCUUCUUUACACCCAUGGAGUUUGGUUUCUUCAGGGGAUUACCUGAGAACCUCUUCAUACUGGAAAUUGUUGGACAGCUUGCUUUCCUAUUUGAUAUCAUUCUACAGUUCUUCGUUGCCUACAGAGACAGCCAGACAUAUCGUAUGAUCUAUAAGCGCACUCCUGUUGCUCUUCGGUACUUAAAAUCUCAUUUUUUCAUUGAUUUACUCGCUUGCAUGCCUUGGGACAUCAUCUUCAAGGCUUGUGGACAUAAAGAAGAAGUUAGGUAUCUUUUGUGGAUUAGGCUAAGCCGAGUGCGCAAAGUAACCAACUUUUUCCAAAAUAUGGAGAAGGAUAUACGAAUAAAUUACCUGUUUACAAGAAUUGUAAAACUUACUGCUGUAGAACUCUACUGCACACAUACCGCAGCCUGCAUUUUUUACUAUUUGGCUACCACUCUACCAUCCUCUGAAGAGGGUUAUACUUGGAUUGGAAGCUUAAAGAUGGGUGACUACAGCUAUUCACACUUCAGAGAGAUUGACAUCUGGAAGCGUUAUGUAACAUCUUUAUAUUUUGCUGUUGUCACUAUGGCCACUGUUGGGUAUGGAGAUAUACAUGCAGUAAAUCUGAGGGAAAUGAUAUUUGUAAUGAUAUAUGUGUCCUUAGAUAUGGUUCUUGGUGCUUAUUUGAUUGGCAAUAUGACAGCGCUAAUUGUAAAAGGAUCAAAGACAGAAAAGUUCAGGGAUAAAAUGACAGAUCUCAUCAAAUAUAUGAACAGAAAUGGACUUGGAAGGGACAUCCGUAACCAGAGCAAAGGCCAUUUGCGCUUACAGUAUGAAAGUAGCUACACUGAAGCUUCUGUUCUUCAGGAUAUUCCUAUAUCUAUUCGUGCUAAGAUUUCCCAAACAUUAUACAUGCCAUAUGUUGAAAAUGUUCCCCUGCUCAAAGGAUGCUCUGCAGAAUUUAUUAAUCAGAUUGUUAUUAGGCUUCAUGAGGAGUUUUUUCUCCCAGGAGAAGUAAUUAUGGAGCAGGGAAACGUUGUAGAUCAACUUUAUUUUGUCUGUCAU